rnacentral:tRNA from 1 species
CGGGGUUGUAGUUUAAUAAAAAUAUUAGCAUUGGAAGCUAAAGAAUAGGGUUUAUCCUACACCCCGA